rnacentral:tRNA from 1 species
GCGGGUGUGGUGGAAUUGGUAGACACGCUAGACUUAGGAUCUAGUGCCGCAAGGUGUGAAGGUUCGACUCCUUUCACCCGCACAA